AUUGAACGCUGGCGGCAGGCUUAACACAUGCUAGUCGAGCGGAGAGAAGUAGAUUGCUACUGAUCUUAGCGGCGGACGGGUGAGUAAUGCUUAGGAAUCUGCCUAUUAGUGGGGGACAACAUUUCGAAAGGAAUGCUAAUACCGCAUACGUCCUACGGGAGAAAGCAGGGGAUCUUCGGACCUUGCGCUAAUAGAUGAGCCUAAGUCGGAUUAGCUAGUUGGUGGGGUAAAGGCCUACCAAGGCGACGAUCUGUAGCGGGUCUGAGAGGAUGAUCCGCCAAACUGGGACUGAGACACGGCCCAGACUCCUACGGGAGGCAGCAGUGGGGAAUAUUGGACAAUGGGCGGAAGCCUGAUCCAGCCAUGCCGCGUGUGUGAAGAAGGCCUUAUGGUUGUAAAGCACUUUAAGCGAGGAGGAGGCUACUUUAGUUAAUACCUAGAGAUAGUGGACGUUACUCGCAGAAUAAGCACCGGCUAACUCUGUGCCAGCCGCCGCAGUAAUAC
rnacentral:rRNA from 1 species